UACAGAGGGGGCAAGCGUUGUUCGGAAUUACUGGGCGUAAAGGGCUCGUAGGUGGCCAACUAAGUCAGACGUGAAAUCCCUCGGCUCAACCUGGGAACUGCAUUUGUGACUGCAUGGCUAGAGUACGGUAGAGGGGGAUGGAAUUCCGCGUGUAGCAGUGAAAUGCGUAGAUAUGCGGAGGAACACCGAUGGCGAAGGCAAUCCCCUGGACCUGUACUGACGCUCAUGCACGAAAGCGUGGGGAGCAAACAGG
rnacentral:rRNA from 1 species